rnacentral:rRNA from 1 species
CCUACGGGAGGCAGCAGUAAGGAAUAUUGGUCAAUGGACGAAAGUCUGAACCAGCCAUGCCGCGUGAAGGAUGAAGGUCCUCUGGAUUGUAAACUUCUUUUAUCUGGGACGAAAAAGGGCUUUCUAGCUCACUUGACGGUACCAGAGGAAUAAGCACCGGCUAACUCCGUGCCAGCAGCCGCGGUAAUACGGAGGGUGCAAGCGUUAUCCGGAUUUACUGGGUUUAAAGGGAGCGUAGGUGGGCAGGUAAGUCAGUGGUGAAAUCUCUGGGCUUAACCCGGAAACUGCCAUUGAUACUAUCUGUCUUGAAUAUCCUGGAGGUAAGCGGAAUAUGUCAUGUAGCGGUGAAAUGCUUAGAUAUGACAUAGAACACCCAUUGCGAAGGCAGCUUACUACGGGAUUAUUGACACUGAGGCUCGAAAGCGUGGGGAUCAAACAGGAUUAGAUACCCUGGUAGUCCACGCCCUAAACGAUGGAUACUCGACAUCAGCGAUACACUGUUGGUGUCUGAGCGAAAGCAUUAAGUAUCCCACCUGGAAGUACGACCGCAAGGUUGAAACUCAAAGGAAUUGACGGCNGAGAGAGACGAGACGACGACGAGGGAGGAGG